rnacentral:rRNA from 1 species
AUUGAACGCUGGCGGAAUGCUUUACACAUGCAAGUCGAACGGCAGCACGGGGGCAACCCUGGUGGCGAGUGGCGAACGGGUGAGUAAUACAUCGGAACGUGCCCAGUCGUGGGGGAUAACGUAGCGAAAGUUACGCUAAUACCGCAUACGAUCUACGGAUGAAAGCGGGGGACCGUAAGGCCUCGCGCGAUUGGAGCGGCCGAUGUCAGAUUAGGUAGUUGGUGGGGUAAAGGCUCACCAAGCCGACGAUCUGUAGCUGGUCUGAGAGGACGACCAGCCACACUGGGACUGAGACACGGCCCAGACUCCUACGGGAGGCAGCAGUGGGGAAUUUUGGACAAUGGGCGCAAGCCUGAUCCAGCCAUUCCGCGUGCAGGACGAAGGCCUUCGGGUUGUAAACUGCUUUUGUACGGAACGAAAAGGCUCUGGUUAAUACCUGGGGCUCAUGACGGUGCCGUAAGAAUAAGCACCGGCUAACUACGUGCCAGCCGCCGCAGUAA